ACAAACUUGGUCAUUUAGAGGAAGUAAAAGUCGUAACAAGGUUUCCGUAGGUGAGUUGGAAGUUUUUCAUCUUACACCCCCCAAUAUACUUCAAUAAUGUGCUGACUUUUUUUAGGUGAACCUGCGGAAGGAUCAUUAUCGAGUGCGCCCCCCUAAAAAGGGGGUUAUCUCCCGUCCUUUGCUGGCCCCUCUAUGGGGCUUUUUUAAACUUCUGCUUCGGCGGGGUUACCCGCCGGAACACCCUCAAAACUCUGGGUAAAACCGUUCAGUCCGAGAGCUUUUAUAAAUUAGCGAAAAACUUUCAACAACGGAUCUCUUGGUUCUGGCAUCGAUGAAGAACGCAGC
rnacentral:misc_RNA from 1 species